AUGGUUUUUUGUGUUAGAGUUUAGGGUUCUUUAUUCUCGCCCUUUUUGUUUUUUAAAUCUGUAACUGACAAAGCUCAUCAUUACUGAUUUUUGACUGUCAACACACUCUUAACAGUUUUUGGUCACAUAAUUGUGUGCAGCUCUGCUAAGCUGUGGAAACUUCUCUCCUCUUCUCCACUAAAUGUAUCACAUCUCACAACCUCAUCAUCUGCAGAGAAA